GACAGAGGGUGCAAACGUUGUUCGGAAUUACUGGGCGUAAAGGGCGCGUAGGCGGCCUUCUAAGUCGAACGUGAAAUCCCCGGGCUCAACCCGGGAACUGCGUCCGAUACUGGAAGGCUUGAAUCCGGGAGAGGGAUGCGGAAUUCCAGGUGUAGCGGUGAAAUGCGUAGAUAUCUGGAGGAACACCGGUGGCGAAGGCGGCAUCCUGGACCGGCAUUGACGCUGAGGCGCGAAAGCCAGGGGAGCAAACGGG
rnacentral:rRNA from 1 species